rnacentral:rRNA from 1 species
UUGGUGCCUUCGGGAACGCAGAGACAGGUGCUGCAUGGCUGUCGUCAGCUCGUGUUGUGAGAUGUUGGGUUAAGUCCCGUAACGAGCGCAACCCUUGUCCUUAUUUGCCAGCACAUAAUGGUGGGAACUCUAAGGAGACUGCCGGUGACAAACCGGAGGAAGGUGGGGACGACGUCAAGUCAUCAUGGCCCUUACGACCUGGGCUACACACGUGCUACAAUGGCCGGUACAAAGGGUUGCCAAGCCGCGAGGUGGAGCUAAUCCCAUAAAACCGGUCGUAGUCCGGAUUGGAGUCUGCAACUCGACUCCAUGAAGUCGGAAUCGCUAGUAAUCGUGAAUCAGAAUGUUACGGUGAAUACGUUCCCGGG